rnacentral:rRNA from 1 species
UACGUAGGGUCCGAGCGUUGUCCGGAAUUACUGGGCGUAAAGAGCUCGUAGGUGGUUUGUCGCGUUGUUCGUGAAAACUCACAGCUUAACUGUGGGCGUGCGGGCGAUACGGGCAGACUUGAGUACUGCAGGGGAGACUGGAAUUCCUGGUGUAGCGGUGGAAUGCGCAGAUAUCAGGAGGAACACCGGUGGCGAAGGCGCCACUCUGGGCCGGUACUGACGCUGAGGAGCGAAAGCGUGGGGAGCGAACAGG